GACGUAGGGCGCGAGCGUUGUCCGGAUUAUUGGGCGUAAAGAGCUCGUAGGCGGCUUGUUGCGUCGACCGUGAAAACCCGGGGCUCAACUUCGGGCUUGCGGUCGAUACGGGCGGGCUAGAGUUCGGUAGGGGAGACUGGAAUUCCUGGUGUAGCGGUGAAAUGCGCAGAUAUCAGGAGGAACACCGGUGGCGAAGGCGGGUCUCUGGGCCGAUACUGACGCUGAGGAGCGAAAGCGUGGGGAGCGAACAGG
rnacentral:rRNA from 1 species